UCAGGGAUAGCCUAACAUCUGACCGCACCCUCUUUGCUUUUUAAAAAAUGCCUUUUCACUCUUUAGGAUAAAUCCACUAUUAUACAAUCUGCCACUAAUUGUGUAUUAAGACUGUUUUUUCUCUCGAAAGCUGACGCAUCCUGCUCUCAACGUGGUGUAGAAAGCAGGCUGUUACAGUGCUGGAUUAAUAAAAGGGGCCUUUAUGGUUUGUGAAAGAAUAUCUCUGUGCUUAGGCAGGAAACUUUUUGAUCCACAGAAAAGCCAGACGACAUCUAGAGCAAGAGAAGCCAACUUUAGGAGCAUGCAUAUUGUGAUACCCUCACUGAUUUCUUUUACAAUGUAUUCUGCUCAGGCCAGUGAAUUUUGUUACUGACCAGUGAAAGAAAAAAAAAUUAAAAUGAAAAAGGAAACUGAAGAAGUUAAUUAUACCAGUAUUCAGUGAAGGUGGGUUAGUUCUGAGUCAUUUUUCUCUGUUUCCUGUGCCUAACCCAAGAUGCUGCAGGACCUUGUGGAUACAUCAGACUUCACUGAGACAAAGUCUUCACACAGAUCAGGCAUCUAAACUAUUUGUUCAUUUCAGAAGUGGCAUUUUGGCUGCAGUAUAUUUUUUCCACUUGUGUGGGAGGAAUUGUGUUUUAUUGUAAGCAUCAACACUGUUGUUAAAAUAAAUUGUUCUUAUCUGUUAGUAUAGUA